rnacentral:rRNA from 1 species
AUGGGGGGACCGCGGAGGGACAUUAACGAGUUAAACAAAACUCCAAACCCUUUGUGAACCUUACCAAAGUUGCCUCGGCGUGAGCUGCGGUUACCCCGUAGUUACCCUGGAAGCGUCUACCCUGUAGGUGCUUACCCUGGAGCUACCCUGUAACCGGCUAACGGCCCGCCGAAGGACCACUAAACUCUGUUUUUACCCAAGUGUAUCUCUGAAUGCUUCAACUAAAUAAGUUAAAACUUUCAACAACGGAUCUCUUGGUUCUGGCAUCGAUGAAGAACGCAGCGAAAUGCGAUAAGUAAUGUGAAUUGCAGAAUUCAGUGAAUCAUCGAAUCUUUGAACGCACAUUGCGCCCAUUAGUAUUCUAGUGGGCAUGCCUAUUCGAGCGUCAUUUCAACCCUUAAGCCCUGUAGCUUAGCGUUGGGAGUCCGCUAAUUUUAGCGGUUCCUUAAAGUUAUUGGCGGAGUUAUAGCGUACUCUAAGCGUAGUAAUUUUUAUCUCGCUUCUGUAGUGGCCCUAACUGUUAGCCAUAAAACCCCCUAUAUUUUUCUAAUGGUUGACCUCGGAUUAGGUAGGAAUACCCGCUGAACUUAAGCAUAUCAAAAA